rnacentral:lncRNA from 1 species
AAUAGACCUUUCCCGUUAAUCGGAUUUUCAGCGGUCAUAAUGCGCGGACAGAUUUGGCGCCGUUCAAAUCUGGUUAUAAACGGAGUCUUUAAAGGCUAGGGAUAAAAAGAAAUGUAUCUAAAGAAAUGACAGAGCACGGAUGUCGUAACUUAUGUCUGUAGGAUUUAUGGUAUACAUAACCCUACUUAUUUUGUUUUCAAUUUUUGUUAUUUAUAUAAAAUUUAUUGAAAAUUGUCUUUGUUCUUCUGCUCAAUCCGUAAAUUAUUGUAUUAGGGCAAAUUUCAGUUCACAAUGCGUAGUUGUAUAGUCGGUUGCUCCAAUUCGACCAAGCGAUGUACUGACAGUAUAUUUUUCAUUCCAAAAGGAACUCGGAGAAAUAUAUGGACUACAUUUUGAAAACAGAUUCACAAGCAAUAAGCGACAAGAUAAGAGUUUGCUGGCGUCAUUUUAGAGGAGAUUUAUUUCAUUUUUCAACAAGGACAUAACUAAAACCCCAUUGCAUACCACGUUUAUAUCUGUAUAAUAACGCAGAAGCCAAUGAAGCUGUACAAAAUAUAGAAACCAGUAAAACACCAAAAAAAUAACUUCCAAAACAAAGAAUACUUGAUUACCCGAUUAAAUCAGGCGAUAUAUAAAUCUAAAUUUUUAAUUGAGAACACAAUGAUAAUGAAAUAAAUUAUAAUACAGGUGUUAGGAGUCAUAAAAUAUAAGUAAAAUAUUGUUAACAAUAUUUAUAUUUUCAAAUCAGAAAAAGGACCUAUUGGUGCAGUGCACCAAUACCAAUAUAUUUUGAAGAAAAAGGACUAAUUAUUAUGAUUAUAUAAAGGACUAAUUAUUAUGAUUAAUCCAGAGCAAUAAUUUAAUAAUGUAUAUAUUAAUUAUGGAUCUAUAUUGGAUAAAAAGAUCAUUGAAUAGUGUUUUUUUAUAUUUAUUAAAAAUAAAGAUAGAAAAAGGCAAAUUAAAUGCAGGGGACAUUAUAUUAGCUGAUAAAGAUUUUGAAAUAAACAGUAUUUUAGAGCAUAUUGGUAUCAAACUCAACAUUGAAAGUUACUGGUAUGCAGCUUCAAGACAAUGACGUGGAAUUUAUCAGGAAAAUUGCACAUGAAAGAAUACAUGUGGAAAGAGCGAUUAGAAGAAUUAAGGCAUUCAAAAUUUUAGCUUCUAGAUUACCAAUAAGCUUGUUAAGUUUUAUUAAUUAAAUUUGUACUGUGUGUGCUCUUUUAACAAACUUUACAACCAUUAAGAAAAUUAAUCUUUAGGGAGAUCUUCUCUUCAUGAAAAAUUUUGCUUGUGCUAUAGUGGUAACUCCCGUUUAGACUUUUCCAAGUUUCCAUAACGUUUUAGAGAAAAUUAAAAAAAACAUGUAAUUUAUCCAUAAGUCCUAAAAAUCAAAACCUGUUUCUAAGUUAAUACAAUUUCGUUUUCAUUCUUUGGUAGAAUUUUAAUUAAUGUUAUAUUUUUUGCUGUUUUAAAAUGUUAAAGAAGCACAAGAUUAUUUAGUUCAAUGCUAGAGAAAGGGUGAUGAUACUUUACUACAGCAAAAAAUAUGACGUUAAUCAGAAUUAAUAAUAACCAUCUAUGAAGGAAUGAAAUUGAAAUUAUAAUACGAUAGAAAAUCGUUUUCAUUUUUAGAAUUUUUUUAAAAAAUUCAACUAUAUUUAAUAUAGUUUUUUAAAUUUACUCAAAACGGUAUAGAAAUUUAGAAAAGCAUAAACGGCAUUAAUCAUUAUAAAAUGAGCAAAACUUUUAAUGAAGAAUGUAUUUUUCUCAAAAUGUCAAUAAUAAACGUCUCUCCUCUUAUAAGGACGAUCGGGGGCACACUGUAUACUAUAAAAAUAAAUAAUAUAUAAAAUAAAACAUUUUGUCAAAAAUCU